rnacentral:rRNA from 1 species
UACAGAGGUCUCAAGCGUUGUUCGGAUUCAUUGGGCGUAAAGGGUGCGUAGGUGGCGCCAUAAGUCAGGUGUGAAAUCUCGGGGCUCAACCCCGAAACUGCACUUGAUACUGUGGUGCUCGAGUACUGGAGAGGAGAUUGGAAUUUACGGUGUAGCAGUGAAAUGCGUAGAUAUCGUGAGGAACACCAGAGGCGAAGGCGGUUUCCUGGACAGUUACUGACGCUCAGGCACGAAAGCAUGGGGAGCAAAAGGG